CUACGGGAGGCAGCAGUGAGGAAUAUUGCGCAAUGGGGGAAACCCUGACGCAGCGACGCCGCGUGGAUGAUGAAGGCUUUCGGGUCGUAAAAUCCUGUCAGAAGGGAAGAAAUGCUAUAUGCCUAAUAUGUGUAUAGUUUGACGGUACCUUCAAAGGAAGCACCGGCUAACUCCGUGCCAGCAGCCGCGGUAAUACGGAGGGUGCAAGCGUUGUUCGGAAUUACUGGGCGUAAAGCGCGCGUAGGCGGCCUUUUAAGUCAGAUGUGAAAGUCCACGGCUCAACCGUGGAAGUGCAUUUGGUACUGGGAGGCUUGAGUACUGGAGGGGAUGGUGGAAUUCCCGGUGUAGAGGUGAAAUUCGUAGAUAUCGGGAGGAAUACCGGUGGCGAAGGCGACCAUCUGGCCAGAUACUGACGCUGAGGUGCGAAAGCGUGGGGAGCAAACAGGAUUAGAUACCCGAGUAGUC
rnacentral:rRNA from 1 species